rnacentral:SRP_RNA from 1 species
GGCCAGGCCUUGCGCUAUCGGAGGUCACCCAAGCCCGUCAGGACCGGAAGGUAGCAGCGGUAAGUGACUGACCGAUGAGACGCAAACGGCUUGGCCUUU